UAAUACAGAGGGUGCGAGCGUUAAUCGGAUUUACUGGGCGUAAAGGGUGCGUAGGCGGUUCUAUGAGUGUGAUGUGAAAGCCCUGGGCUCAACCUAGGAAGUGCAUCGCAAACGAUAGAACUGGAGUAUGUGAGAGGGUGGCGGAAUUUCCGGUGUAGCGGUGAAAUGCGUAGAUAUCGGAAGGAACGUCGAUGGCGAAGGCAGCCACCUGGCACAAUACUGACGCUGAGGCACGAAAGCGUGGGGAUCAAACAGGAUUAGAUACCCUGGUAGUCCACGCCGUAAACGAUGAUAACUAGAUGUUGGUAGGGGAACCUAUCGGUAUCGAAGCUAACGCGAUAAGUUAUCCGCCUGGGAAGUACGGCCGCAAGGUUG
rnacentral:rRNA from 1 species